GGGCGGUUAGCUCAGUUGGUAGAGCAUCUCGUUUACACCGAGAAUGUCGGCGGUUCGAACCCGUCACCGCCCACCA
rnacentral:tRNA from 1 species